GAUGAAGAACGUAGCGAAAUGCGAUAGGUAAUGUGAAUUGCAGAAUUCAGUGAGUCAUCGAAUCUUUGAACGCACAUUGCGCCCUUUGGUAUUCCGAAGGGCAUGCCUGUUCGAGCGUCAUUAUCACCCCUCAAGCCCUCGGCUUGGUGUUGGACGGUUUGGUGGAGGCCCCCUCGGGGGGUCCUGCCCCUCCCAAAGACAAUGACGGCGGCCUCGUUGGACCCCCGGUACACUGAGUUCUUCACGGGACACGUAUCGGACACAUGGGUUUACGGGACACGGUCUGCCUCCCCUCAGGGAGAAUCUUUCUAAGGUUGACCUCGGAUCAGGUAGGGAUACCCGCUGAACUUAAGCAUAUCAAUAAGCGGAGGA
rnacentral:misc_RNA from 1 species